UGCCAGCCGCCGCGGUAAUACGGAAGGUGCAAGCGUUGUUCGGAGUGACUGGGCGUAAAGCGCACGUAGACGGGUUUGUAAGUCGGAUGUGAAAUCCCCGAGCUCAACUUGGGAACUGCAUCCGAAACUAUAAAUCUUGAAUGCUUCAGGGGUUGGUGGAAUUCCAGGUGUAGGAGUGAAAUCCGUAGAGAUCUGGAGGAACACCGGAGGCGAAGGCGGCCAACUGGGAGUGCAUUGACGUUGAGGUGCGAAAGCGUGGGGAGCAAACAGGAUUAGAUA
rnacentral:rRNA from 1 species